rnacentral:lncRNA from 1 species
CGCCGCGUGCGGCUGCGGCACGUUGCCGUAGGAUCGGCACCGCGUCAUCGGCGCGAGCAGCACACGGUGGGAGAGGUCAAGCUUCGACCCCGGGCGCCCAGCCUGCUUGUACGGUGUCAGCAGCGGGAUAGCCUGAUGAUCGUCGUUCGCCGCCGCUUGAUGAUGCUGCACCAUCUUGUCUCGGUUGAUUGGUGAUUGCUCUGCUUGGAUGAUGUAUGUAUCAAUCGGCGAUGGAAAACUAACAAAUGCGAUGCGAUGAUCUAGCUAGGCUAGCUCUUUGCUCUGUUCUUGCUAAACGCUUUGGCUGUGUGCCGAAUGGGGUUGGAGUUUGGUUGUAUUUAUAGGUGUCGGAGUGGACCCUCGCGCGUGGCGACGGCGGUUUUCUCCAUUGACCGGCAGAGUACGCUAAUAUUUUCGAUCUGCAAAAUCGCGCUGCGCUGCUGGCUCCAUAUAGAUCGUUGACUCUUCCUCCGUACCAACCAUGCCAUAUCGUGAUUUCGUCAGCCUUGCGUCGUGAACUUGGUCUGCGUAACAGGCAGCAGCCCUGUUGUCUGCGUAUCAGGACAUGUUUCGUUUGCAUGACGAGCAUAUUACACAUGUCUGUGGUCAUGGAGAUAUAUAUGGUCGAUCAUCAGCAUGAACAACAGAUGACGCAGGUACACCAUAUACCUAUAUUUGUGCUCGGCCAACUUCAUUUCUUAAGCACCUAAGAUGACAUUACAAAUCAAAAUUUGCACCAGAGUAACAACACAAGCAAACAAAAAUCACACCAUAAAGUCGUAAACUACCAAACUGCUUUGUUCGUUGAUUUUGGAUGAUAAAUUAGAUAAUUUUGUGAUUACUGAUAUAUUUGGGUUCUAAGUCCAUAAUUGUGCAAUAACAUAGCUUGAAUCUAUAAAUUUGUAAUUUCGGGAUUGUAGUUUAAAUGCUAACGUCUUAUAAAACAUAAUUUGAAAGUGAAUAACUUCAGCUAUACAAAUUGUAGGGAAUAAAAAUGUUUGACCAACUUUUUGAAUCUAAAAUUAAACAUUUGAACUGAAUUGCAGUGAAAUUUGAUGAAAAUUCAAAGGGGAAAUUACAAAAUCACAUUUUUCUCUAUUUUUCUCCCCUAAAAAAAAUGAAAUGUUAUAUUUUAAAAAUUAACCACAACCAAAUUUGGAAAUAUUUCCAUGGAGGGGUAGGGGGGGUUGAAAUUACCUUUAAUAUUUUGAAAAUUCUAAGUAUUUUUUAUUUCAUUUUUUUGAUCAAAUCAUCAUGUCCACUCCGAUUUUUAGAGUCAAAACUGUUUUUACCUUGAGAUCUAUAUUUUUAAAAUGUAGAAACAAGAGGCAAUAUAGUUAUUCCCUCCGUCCCAAAAUAUAGCAACUUUUGGCUAUGAAUCUGGACGCAUAGUUGUCCAGAUUUAUAGCUAAAAAUACUUAUAUUUUGGGAUGGAGGUAGUAUUUGUGAAAAAUCUCGUGGUCAAUUAACAGAUUGAGUAUAAAAAAGAACAAAACAACUUAAGGGUAUAAAGGAAACAUGGCUAAAUUUAGGGGUAUGGGAAUGAUGGAGCAAAUACUCAAUGACACACAAGAAUUUUUUUUUAUAUGAGGAUCAUCGCAAUGAUAUCUUUACUCCUUUAUAAACAUCAAAACAUAAGUCUGCCUCACCGCCACAAUCACUAAUAUUUGGGCCUCACAAAGUGGGCCCCACAUAGCUAGUUCUUAUGAAAAUCGAUGACCUCUUUCUUUCUUAUACCCCUCCAGUUGGAUUUUUUUACUGUACCCUCGGGUAAAUAUGGAUCAUCCAUUCGUUGCAUCCAGCGGAUCAUAUCCGCCACUACUACACUGAGUAUUAUGGAUAGUAUUAUUUCUCCAAGGGUAGAUUUGGAAAAUUUUGCAUGGUAAAGAAGUAAUUUCGCAUGUGUUAAUUACCGGUUAAUUUUUUUUUCUAAUCUACUCUAUUUUUUACGCCAUCUCUUGGUUUUCUCAGACUGUAGGUGGGCCUGUCCUAGUGAUGAACGUGCAAGUGUUCAUACGGGUUUUUUGUUUUUUUCUGUUGAUUUUGUUGCUUCUAAUCCGGAGAGAAGGACGGUUCGCCGAUCCCUAAUUGCAUGAAUGCAAACAUGGUUGGAAUGCAUCGCUGCUCUUUCUUCAAAUUAGUAUAUGCAUAUACACAUGUGCCCGUCUAAAUUGAUGGAGGAUUCCUAAAAAUAAAUUGAUCGAGCAUUACUCCUGUUCAAGACGCCAGUGAGAAGGUUAAGACGCCGGUGAGAAGUUAUAUGAACCGGCGAUGAAGCAGCCGGCGUCGCGGCGACCUUGCCAUGAUCCGUCGAUUAGGAUAAUUGCAGCGCCAAGAUUACGAGCAAUACCCUUCUAUAAUUGAAAUUAGAGUUGAAAGUCAAAAAUACCCUAAGCAUUUUUAAAAGCCCUAAAAUACCCAAACAAAUGAAGGGUCGGAUUUAGUUUCUACUACACUACUACCACCGGUAGUAAAAUGUACUGUAAAAGGCCCCCUCCAGUUUUGUAUUCUCUCUCUCUCUCUCCCCUUUAUCUUCCAUUCUAUAAUUUGGACCUGAUAAGCAAAAGGAAAAAGUACGAAUUACCCCCCUAAACACGAAAACCAAAUAUUUUUCACCUUUAACUAUCGAUACCGGAUGAAACUCCCCCUCCCCCGAGCAGUUUUGCAAGCGGUUUUGGUCUACGUGGCAGUCCAGUCAGCAAUUCAUUUUUUUAAUCAGCGGGCCCCACCUGUCUGUCUCCCACACUCUCUUUUUUCCACUCACCUCUCUGGCUGUGUUCGGUUCAAGGGGUUCCCAACCCCUUUUUCUCGUUUUCCGUGCACACGCUUUUCAAACUGCUAAACGGUGCGUUUUUUACAAAAAGUUUCUAUAUAAAAGUUACUUAAAAAGAUCAUAUUGAUCCAUUUUUGAAAAAAAACAAAUAUUUAAUUAAUUACGCGCUAAUGGACUGCUCCAUUUUCCAUGCCGGAGGGUAACGUUCCCAACCCAAUGUAACGAACGUAGCCUCUAUCUCUCUCCAAAAUCCACUCUCUUCUCCCUCCCUCACCACGAGGACGGCGGGCGGAGCUUCGGGUGACGGGAGGAGGGGGCAGCGGAGCUCGAGGCGGUGGGAGGAGGAGGUGGUGGGAGGAGCGGACAACGAAGGGCGGUGCUUGGGGUAGCGGAGGGGCACCCGCAGCUAGCGGUGCUCAGGGAGAUGAAGGGGGCGAUGGAGCGAGCUGAGGACGACGGCGGGCCGAGCUUGGGGCCAAGGGGGCGACGGAGCUUGGGGCGGUGAAGGGGCGCUCGUAGCCGCCGGCGCGCGGCUCGUUGAGGCAGCGGAGGGGAUGCCCGCAGCCAGCGGUGCUCGGGGAGGUGGAGGGGGCGGCGAAGUGAUCCAAGGAUGGUGGUGGGAGAAGUUCGGGCGGCGAAGGAAGCACCCGCAGCCAUCGCCGCGCGGCUCGUCGAGGCGACAAAGGGGGCGUCCGCUGCCGUCGGCGCUCGAGCCACAACUGCUGGCAUUUGAGAGAGAGAGAGGGUGGGUGAGAGGGGAAGACAUGGAGUGGAGAGAUAUCCGACAGGUAGGGCCCAUUGUUUCUUUAAUAAAAAAAUUACUGACUAGACUGCUACAUAGACCAAAACCGCUUACAAAGCUGGUCGGGGUUUUUUUUAUAUGGUAUCGAUAGUUGAGGGGUGAAAAAUAUCUGGUUUCGGGUUUAGGGGGAUAAUUCGUACUCACCUGAUAGUUGGGGAGGGAUUCGUACUUUUUCCUAAGCAAAAAUAUAUGAUACAAUUGCUGGGGCAAGAAGAAAACAUAGAAGCUCUAAAAAAUAUACAUAUAUGAUGGACAACAUUAAUAAAACCAUAAAAGGCAAUCUGAUGUUAAAUGAUAAGAACUUCUCAAAUGAUUUAAUCAUGAGCAUGUCUUCUUUUCAUCUCGACCAGAGAGCACAUACACCCUCUAAAAUAUUUCAACAGAAGCCCAUAAUAUCAUCUAUAAAGAGGCCCAUAAUUGUAUAAUUUUUUUGUGUGCAUGUAUGCUAAAGUGUCUUAAGGGCUUGCCCAAAAAUAAUUCGUACGAUCGGCAUUGUCAGUUUAGGUUUUAGAGGAUGGAUUUCUAGCCAUUAUCAAAAAUAAAAGUUAAGGUAUUUAAUUUGGAAUUGUGACAAAAAAAAAUUUGCACAAGUGAUGGAAACCAUUGUUUGGAAUUAAUUUGGAUUUAUAUGCUAAGUAAAUUCAAAGAGAGAAAAGUUUUUUUUAACAAGAUAAUUCAAAAGGGACCCAUGCUGGGAUGUAAAAAAAAGGACAGCACAUCAACUUAUAAAAUUACAAAAGAACACAUAUAUUUCUCAUGUGGUGUGAAUACAUCUGCGUUUAUUAAUCCCAAUAUAUUUGGAUGCAUAACUAAUCAAAUAUCAAAAUGAAUUAGUUGCAGACAUAAACCAUCAAAAAAGAGAGAAGAAAAUGACAUCUUGCACGCAGGCAUAUACUAACACUGUUUACAUGAAUCGUGCACAUUAUUAUUGUGGAUAUAUAGAACCAACAACUAAAAUAGCACAAAAUCUAAGCAUCAGCAACCGAGUUGUUCUGAUCCUCAUCGAGGAAAGGGUAGUCCGUGUAUCCAACAAUUGGGUCUUGAGUGUAGAAGGUGUUGCGAUCAUACUUGUUCAAUGGCGCAUCAAGCUCGAACCUCUUAGGCAAGUCAGGGUUCGCCAAGAAAAGCCUUCCAAAGGAGACAAGAUCAGUGUAGCCAUUUUCGAUCACCUUGUUGCCUUCCUCCCGGUCAUACCCACCGGCGGCGAUGAACGUGCCCUUGAAAGCUUUCCUGAAUGGCAGCAGGCCGUGCUGAAUCUGCCGGCGGCCGUCGACGAUGGCCAUGCGAGGCUCCACCAUGUGGCAGUAGAGGAAACCCUCGUGCUUGUUGAGCUGCUCCACCAUGUACGAGCCGAGAGCCUCCGGGUCGGAGUCGACGCAGUCCAUGAAGUCCAGGAACGGCGACAGCCUGAUGCCGACGCGGUGGGCGCCGAUCUCGCCGACGACGGCGUCGAUCACCUCGACGGCGAAGCGGCACCGGUUCUCGAGGCUGCCGCCGUACUCGUCGGUGCGGUCGUUGGAGCUGUCCUUCAUGAACUGCUCGAGGAGGUAGCCGUUGGCGCCGUGGAUCUCCACGCCGUCGAACCCGGCCUCGAUGGCGUUCCGCGCGGCGAGCCUGAAGUCGUCGACGAUCUGAGGGAUCUCGUCGACCCGCAGCCGGCGAGGCUUGGAGUACACGAUCCCUGAACCGUCCGGUGUGAUCUGUAUGUCGGAGCUUGAGAUCGGUGCCUGCCCAUUUGGCUGGUAGUCUGUUUUGCAAAGUAAAUUCAAGAGCAGAAUUAGAACACUAUCGACUAAUGAUGAUCGUUACUAAAUUACAUGGUAAUGCUAAGAAAUUAAUUUAUGAACACGAACAUAAAACAUUCAUGCGCGUUUGACGAGUGUUUACCGUUGGUGGAGACUCUCCCGACGUGCCAGAGCUGGCAGAUGAAGAGGGCGCCCUUGCGGUGGACGGCGUCGACGAUGGGCUUCCACGCCUCGACGUGCUCCCGCGUCCAGACGCCGGGUGUCUCCGGGUAGCCCUGCGCGGUGUCGGAGACGCCGGUGGCCUCCGUGAUGAGGAGGCCGCCGCUGGUGGCGCGCUGCGUGUAGUACAGCGCCGCGUGCGGCUGCGGCACGUUGCCGUAGGAUCGGCACCGCGUCAUCGGCGAGAGCAGCACACGGUGGGAGAGAUCGAUCUUGCCGCCAGCCUGCUUGUACGGUGUCAGCAGCGGCAUCGCGGCUUGGUUGACCAUCUCGCCUCGGCCUUUCUCAACGCUUCUGCCUCUCUCUUGCUUGCUUCUGAACUUUGCUCUGCUUGACUUCUUGAUGAACGCUUUU